GCGGCGUGGUGGUCGAGGCCGCCUUCGCCAACGCGCUCGAUGUGCGCGUCGGUGAUCCGGUCACCCUGGACGGCCGGUCGUUCGAGGUCGUCGGCGUCGCG
rnacentral:tRNA from 1 species